UAUGUAUGCUCUUAUACAUCAAUUCCAUUCUCCAACAGGUAACUGAUCAGCCAGCCAAUAAUCAACGCCAGUACUGAGCCCAACGGUGAAUGGUCUCAACCAUUUGCGGAAAUAAUGCACUAACACUUUCAUUGAUAAGAUCCUGAAAGAAGUGAAUGCAUUCCUCAUCGUCCAAGUCUAACCGGAACUUCUCUUGAAGCUUAAG
rnacentral:misc_RNA from 1 species